rnacentral:rRNA from 1 species
GCUAUACAUGCAGUCGAGCGAGCUUGCCUAGAUGAAUUUGGUGCUUGCACCAAAUGAAACUAGAUACAAGCGAGCGGCGGACGGGUGAGUAACACGUGGGUAACCUGCCCAAGAGACUGGGAUAACACCUGGAAACAGAUGCUAAUACCGGAUAACAACACUAGACGCAUGUCUAGAGUUUAAAAGAUGGUUCUGCUAUCACUCUUGGAUGGACCUGCGGUGCAUUAGCUAGUUGGUAAGGUAACGGCUUACCAAGGCAAUGAUGCAUAGCCGAGUUGAGAGACUGAUCGGCCACAUUGGGACUGAGACACGGCCCAAACUCCUACGGGAGGCAGCAGUAGGGAAUCUUCCACAAUGGACGCAAGUCUGAUGGAGCAACGCCGCGUGAGUGAAGAAGGGUUUCGGCUCGUAAAGCUCUGUUGGUAGUGAAGAAAGAUAGAGGUAGUAACUGGCCUUUAUUUGACGGUAAUUACUUAGAAAGUCACGGCUAACUACGUGCCAGCAGCCGCCGGUAAAA